rnacentral:rRNA from 1 species
GUGACCUCAAAUCAGGUAGGACUACCCGCUGAACUUAAGCAUAUCAAUAAGCGGAGGAAAAGAAACUAACAAGGAUUCCCCUAGUAACUGCGAGUGAAGCGGGAAAAGCUCAAAUUUAAAAUCUGUCAGUCUUUGGCUGUCCGAGUUGUAAUCUAGAGAAGUGUUGUCGGCGCUGGACCGUGUACAAGUCUCCUGGAAUGGAGCGUCAUAGAGGGUGAGAAUCCCGUCUUUGACACGGACUGCCAGGGCUUUGUGAUGCGCUCUCGAAGAGUCGAGUUGUUUGGGAAUGCAGCUCAAAAUGGGUGGUAAAUUCCAUCUAAAGCUAAAUAUUGGCGAGAGACCGAUAGCGAACAAGUACCGUGAGGGAAAGAUGAAAAGAACUUUGGAAAGAGAGUUAAACAGUACGUGAAAUUGCUGAAAGGGAAACGCUUGAAGUCAGUCAUGUUGUCCAGGGAUCAACCUUGCUUUUGCUUGGUGUACUUUCUGGUUGACGGGUCAGCAUCAAUUUUGACCAUUGGAAAAAGAUUGAGGGAAUGUGGCAUUCUUGGAUGUGUUA